AAUGGCUUACCAAGGCGAUGACGGGUAGGGGACCUGAGAGGGUGGCCCCCCACAAUGGAACUGAAACACGGUCCAUACACCUACGGGUGGCAGCAGUAGGGAAUAUUAGUAAUGGGCGAAAGCCUGAACUAGCAACGCCGCGUGUGCGAAGAAGGCCUUCGGGUUGUAAAGCACUUUUUGAGAGGAUGAGGAAGGACGGUACUCUCAGAAUAAGUCUCGGCUAACUACGUGCCAGCAGCCGCGGUAACACGUAGGAGGCAAACGUUAUCCGGAUUUACUGGGCGUAAAGCGCGUGUAGGUGGUUUGGUAAGUAGGGCGUGAAAGCUCCUGGCUCAACUGGGAGAGGACGUCCUAAACUGCCAAGCUUGAGGAUGGUAGAGGGAGGUGGAAUUCCGGGUGUAGCGGUGGAAUGCGCAGAUAUCCGGAGGAACACCAGUGGCGAAGGCGGCCUCCUGGACCACUCCUGACACUCAGACGCGAAAGCUAGGGUAGCAAACGGGAUUAGAGACCCCGGU
rnacentral:rRNA from 1 species